AACGAACGCUGGCGGCAUGCCUAACACAUGCAAGUCGAACGAGACCUUCGGGUCUAGUGGCGCACGGGUGCGUAACGCGUGGGAACCUGCCCUUAGGUUCGGAAUAACUCCCCGAAAGGGGUGCUAAUACCGGAUAAUGUCUUCGGACCAAAGAUUUAUCGCCUUUGGAUGGGCCCGCGUUGGAUUAGCUAGUUGGUAGGGUAAAAGCCUACCAAGGCGACGAUCCAUAGCUGGUCUGAGAGGAUGAUCAGCCACACUGGGACUGAGACACGGCCCAGACUCCUACGGGAGGCAGCAGUGGUGAAUAUUGGACAAUGGGCGAAAGACUGAUCCAGCAAUGCCGCGUGAGUGAUGAAGGCCUUAGGGUUGUAAAGCUCUUUUACCCGGGAUGAUAAUGACAGUACCGGGAGAAUAAGCUCCGGCUAACUCCGUG
rnacentral:rRNA from 1 species